AUUGAACGCUAGCGGCAGGCUUAACACAUGCAAGUCGAACGAGUGGCGGACGGGUGAGUAAUGCUUGGGAAUCUAGCUUAUGGAGGGGGAUAACUACGGGAAACUGUAGCUAAUACCGCGUACUAUAGGAUGAGCCCAAGUGGGAUUAGGUAGUUGGUGGGGUAAAGGCUCACCAAGCCAACGAUCCGUAGCUGGUUUGAGAGGACGACCAGCCAAACGGGGACUGAGACACGGCCCAGACUCCUACGGGAGGCAGCAGUGGGGAAUUUUGGAAAAUGGGGGAAACCUGACGCAGCCAUGCCGCGUGAAUGAAGAAGGCCUUCGGGUUGUAAAGUACUUUCGGUAGCGAGGCGGUAUCUGCAGAAGAAGCACCGGCUAACUCCGUGCCAGCAGCCGCGGUAAUAC
rnacentral:rRNA from 1 species